rnacentral:rRNA from 1 species
UACGUAGGGUGCGAGCGUUGUCCGGAAUUAUUGGGCGUAAAGAGCUCGUAGGCGGUCUGUCGCGCGGGAGUGAAAGCCCGUUGCUUAACGGCGGGUUGGCUUUCGGUACGGGCAUGCUGGAGUGCGGCAGGGGAGACUGGAAUUCCUGGUGUAGCGGUGGAAUGCGCAGAUAUCAGGAGGAACACCGGUGGCGAAGGCGGGUCUCUGGGCCGUUACUGACGCUGAGGAGCGAAAGCGUGGGGAGCGAACAGGAUAGAUACCC